AUGCCAAAGAGCAGAAUUGCGUGUUACAGCGGGGUUGUUACAGGUUGUUACAGCGGGGUUGUUACAGGUUGUUACAGCGGGGUUGUUACAGGUUGUUACAGCGGGGUUGUUACAGGUGUUACAGCGGGGUUGUUACAGGUUGUUACAGCGGGGUUGUUACAGGUUGUUACAGCGGGGUUGUUACAGGUUGUUACAGCGGGGUUACAGCGGGGUUGUUACAGCGGGGUUGUUACAGCGGGGUUGUUACAGGUGUUUACAGCGGGGUUGUUAAGGUGUUUACAGCGGGGUUGUUACAGGUGUUUACAGCGGGGUUGUUACAGGUGUUUACAGCGGGGUUGUUACAGGUUGUUACAGCGGGGUUGUUACAGGUUGUUACAGCGGGGUUGUUACAGGUGUUACAGCGGGGUUGUUACAGGUUGUUACAGCGGGGAUUGAGGAACAUGUCCUGGUUCUGCAGUCAUUAGCUGACUGAAUUUAGACACAUUACUUACCAUUCUUGUGCCUCAUUUUCCUUACUAGUAAACUAGAGAUAAUAUAAGUAUUAUAAUACAAUACCCUUAUUUAAUUGUUGUGAGAAUUAAAUAAGUUAAUGCAUAUAAAGUGCUGAAAACAGUGCUGGACACAUAGUGAAUGCAUAGAUGUUAGUAUAUUUUUAUCUGCCAUUAAAUGUUUGCUGUAUGUUCAAAACAUUACUGAGUACUUUGUAUAUAUUAUUGUACUGUAUAAUUUCAAACUAUAUUUUCUGCAUAGGAUAUAUUUGCUACACAAAAUAACAGUAUUAAUAUAAAACUAAAUUUAAAAAAUGUAUUCUUUUUUUCUUUUUUGAGAUGGCGUUUUGCUCUUGUUAUCAAGGCUGGAGUGCAGUGGUGUGAUCUCAGCUCACUGCAACCUCCGCCUCCUGGGUGUGAGCAAUUCUCCUGUCUUAGCCUUCCUUCCUAAUAACUGGGAUUACAGGCACCUACCACCACAUCCGGAUAAUUUUUUGUAUUUUUAGUAGAGAUUGGGUUUCACCAUGUUGGCCAGGAUAGUCUCGAUCUCCUGACCUCAUGAUCUGCCUGCCUCAGCCUCCCAAAGUGUUGGGAUUACAGACUUGAGCCACUGUGCCUAGCCUUAUUUCUUUCAUAGUCCUUAGACCUGUUCACUGGCAUAUUGUGUCUUUUUGUCAUUUUUCCAUGUUGUAAUAUAGUCAUGAUUAUACAUUUUAAUGUAACAAAAAUUUCUUGGUUAUAUUCUUGUUGAUGGAUAUUUAGACUGUUACUAACAGUGUUUUUAUAUACUAGUAUGAAUUAUGUAUUUUCCAGGAAAUAACUUUCCUUUAAUUUUAAUUAAAGGAAAUUUCCUUUAAUUCUUUUAUUUCUUGAAGUUAAAGCCCCAAAAGUGGAAUUCCUAGGGAAUGGGUGUGCUUUUUGUUCUGGAAACAUUUUACUAAAUUUUGUUCACAGUGUGCCACAUACGUUUCUAUUGAGUGAUGUGCAGUCAGUAUUGGUAAUAUUGUUUUUUUAUUUUGGUAAUUUGAGUAGACAUUGUGAUAAAGAACAUGGUGCUGGAAUUAAACUGACUGGAUUCAGAUUCUAGAAUCAGAAUCACGUGGCUAGAUAUGUUAGCUUGGGAAAGUUAAUUUUACCUAGUCUAAACAUUGGAUUCCUGGUCGGGAAAGUGUGAAUAAUACCACAGCCUAUGUAUGUGGUUAUUCUAAGGAAUAAAUAAGAUGGUACAUAUAAAAAUGGCGCA
rnacentral:lncRNA from 13 species